rnacentral:rRNA from 1 species
AUUGAACGCUGGCGGCAGGCCUAACACAUGCAAGUCGAACGAGUGGCGGACGGGUGAGUAAUGUCUGGGAAACUGCCCGAUGGAGGGGGAUAACUACUGGAACCGGUAGCUAAUACCGCAUACCAUCGGAUGUGCCCAGAUGGGAUUAGCUAGUAGGUGGGGUAAUGGCUCACCUAGGCGACGCUCCCUAGCUGGUCUGAGAGGAGGACCAGCCACACGGGAACUGAGACACGGUCCAGACUCCUACGGUAGGCAGCAGUGGGGAAUAUUGCACAAUGGGCGCAAGCCUGAUGCAGCCAUGCCGCGUGGAUGAAGAAGGCCUUCGGGUUGUAAAGUACUUUCAGCGAGGAGGCGUUACUCGCAGAAGAAGCACCGGCUAACUCCGUGCCAGCAGCCGCGGUAAUUC